rnacentral:rRNA from 1 species
GGUAAGUCGGGGCCUAAGGCGAGGCUGGGAGGCGUAGCCGAUGGACAACAGGUKGAGAUUCCUGURCCGUGUAUCAUCASAACUGUGGGGACACSGAARGACASCACAUCCCGGGAAUGGGAAUACCGGGGCAAGCGGGGUAGGAGUACGGSUGGSAAAUCCGCCGUACAAUCCGAAKACRUGACGCGGAGCGAACUGAAGUAGHGAAGUGUGUGAUUCCMGCUGUCAAGAAAAGCCGCUAUCGUGUGAUACACGCCCGUACCGUAAACCGACACAGGUGGAUGAGGAGAGAAUCCUAAGG